AUUCUGUCUGCGGUUAAAGAAGUAGGUACCUAGUAAAUUUAACUAUGUAAUUUUCCUAGCUGUAAAUGGCAAUAAAAUACUAAAAUUUAUGAUUUAUUAAAUGAAAAUUUAAAAAAAAAAAAGCUAAUACUAAGGACGAUUGCAACCAUUGUUGUAGGUGGGUAGUAGGUUAGGUGGAAUAUAUAGUUAUUUAAUUUAUACCUUUAAAACAAACCUGUUUUGAAAGGACGUUAUAUUUACGAUUUUCGACAAAAUUUGAUUUUACAACUUAUGAAAAAAAAAUACCACAUUACAUUAGGUAACCUAAACGACGUGGUUUCGCAAAAAAAAAUUUUUGUAACUCUAGUUUGAACUUCCUAUCUCUGGGAUGUUGAAAAAUACGUACCACUACUAUACUACGAUAGAUAUAAGUAGGGCCGUUAAGAGUGGGGACAGUAGGACUAUUUCGCCUCAGCCCCAAACUUCUAAGGACCCUAGCCCCCAAUGCCCGUUGUUUUUUUUAAAAUUAAUUUUUGAUUGAGCAAACCAAGUUUUUUAAAUUGUAUAUCAUAUAAAAUAGUCUAAUCAAAUUUAAAUUUGAAACAUGAUUUGAGUUAAUACUUAAUACAUAAAUGAAUCACAAAUAAUUGUUUUAUGUGCGUAAUAUAGCCAUAGCGUUUGUCUAACAAAUAUUUAUAAAUUUAUAAUCAAUGAUAGUAAUUCCGACAAAACCAAUGACUGUGAACCAGCAGUGAAUCACAUAAUAUAAUAUAUACCUAACUAUACAAGAACUUGCGAUCUAUGUUUUAUGCAUGUUACGUAAGGUUAGG